CCUCAGCCCAGCGAAACUUCGUUCUCCUGUCUCCUUCAAUCUGUCUUUCUUCAACGAGCACCCACGGAUCAGGAGGGGUUCACGGUCCGGACAGCAAGGCCGGAAGAAGCGCCGCACCGCAGCUACCAGCAAGCACCAUGACGGACAAGGAGGGAGGGUGCAGUAACACUGCAGCAUACAACACCAUCUGUAGAUGAGGUAUGGAGUGCCGAGCAGGUGCUGGCAAAAUAUGGUGACCAAAUACCACCUAAUGGGGAGAUUGCUGACAGAGUAUUUAAUGGCGUCACUUAUGGAGGCUUUGCCGGCAUCGUUGUUAUUGUAGCAAUUAUCCUGUAUUAUUGCUGGAGAAAAAAGAAAUAAAGGAGUCAUACAGAUGUUGAGAAAGCUGAGGAUGAGGCUAGAAGUCCCAACCCCUUACCCACAAUGUCCUAACCCCCACCACCUUGUUCCCACUCCCCACCACCUCCAUGUCUACCGAUUCUCCCCCAACUCUUCCUACAUACUCACCUCCUCCACUUACCCUAUAAUCCCCCCCAUAACUGCCCAGCACCCUCUCACCCACACAUCCCGAUCUCCCACCACCUCAACCUUUACCACUUCCUUCCCCAACCUCACCCCCCACUAGUAUCCCAACCUCUUACCUACAAUAUUCUACCACCACCUUGUUCCCCACCCCCAUCACCAUCUACCGAUUCUCCCCCAACUCUUCAACCAUCUAAUCAAUGAUAUUGUCACAGUCCAUGAAUGGACUUUGUGGGCGACUCGCUUCUCACCUCUCCAGCAACUGUGUCUAUGGUUACCCAGCAGCAGAAGGGCUUGUCACAGGUCAAUGCAGGAAGGGGGAGUCUAACAACUGUGACAGAUCCAAAUGGUCUGUUCAAAAAACUGGUGCCCCACAUACCUAACUAACUUUUUCAUCAGACCAGCCAACUUACUUAUCAGAACAUAAAACAAGAAAAACAGGAAGACAAUACCGCUGUGAUAAACACCAAUCUAUACAAAUAUCACAAAGCCUUUGAUUUAAGGGGUGAAAGAUGUCAGUGGUACCCCUUGCUGGUCACUAUUACUGUGCUCAACCCUUCUGGAUUGCUCCACAGACUCCCUUGGUGCUCACUCAGAGCCACGUGUUACAGCAGCAUCACUUGAAUCAGACUGACCUGCUUUUCUUAUAUUGUUAUUAAAUUAAUAUUACAUAUACAUCAUAUCAAAUGUAUCUUGAUCUCUCACUGCCCUACAAGUAUUAUAAUACUUCUGUACUAAUAUUGAGAGCAACUACUAACAAACUAACCAACCAACCAACUAAUGAGGACUGUGUGAACUUGGCUUGGUCUAUACUAGUGAAGAUUAUGGCCCUCAUUCCGAGUUGAUUGCUCGCUAGCUGCUUUUAGCAGCAUUGCACACGCUAAGCCGCCGCCUACUGGGAGUGAAUCUUAGCUUAGCAGAAUUGCGAACGAAAGAUUCGCAGAAUUGCGAAUAGAAAUUUCUUAGCAGUUUCUGAGUAGCUCCAGACUUACUCAGUCAUUGCGAUCAGUUCAGUCAGUUUCGUUCCUGGUUUGACGUCACAAACACACCCAGCGUUCGCCCAGACACUCCCCUGUUUCUUCAGACACUCCCGCGUUUUUCCCAGAAACGCCAGUGUUUUUUCGCACACGCCCAGAAACACCCACUUCCUGUCAAUCACAGUACGAUCACCAGAACGAUGAAAAAACCUCGUUAUGCCAUGAGUAAAAUACCUAACUUUUGUGUAAAAUAACUAUGCGCAUGUGUUCUGCGAACCAUGCGCAGUAAGCGACUAAUCGCAAUAUAGUGAAAAUCGGCAAUGAGCGAACAACUCGGAAUGACCACCCAUGUUUAAUACUGCUUUUUUGGAUUAUAACACUCAGCAACUAACAGCCUAAUUACUGUUGGGACUCUAGAAUAUAUUA